UACAGAGGGUGCGAGCGUUAAUCGGAAUUACUGGGCGUAAAGUGUGCGCAGGUGGCUGAGCAAGUCGAGUGUGAAAUCCCCGGGCUUAACUUGGGAAUUGCGCUCGAAACUACUUGGCUCGAGUGUGGCAGAGGAAGGUGGAAUUCCAGGUGUAGCGGUGAAAUGCGUAGAGAUCUGGAGGAACACCGAUGGCGAAGGCAGCCUUCUGGGCCAACACUGACGCUCAUGCACGAAAGCGUGGGGAGCAAACAGG
rnacentral:rRNA from 1 species